UACCAAUGGUUGUACAUGACAGAGACCUCCUCCCCCUCUUUGCUGUCUUACUAGUCAAUCCUUCUGAUCAGGUCCUUUCCUAAAUAGUGAAAGGAUCAUGCCAGCCCACAUCAAACAUCUGAUCAAGAACUUGUGAACCUCACUGCUGCGGACACCUGUGUGAUAUUCCACUCUGACUGGAACCCUCAAUAUGACCUGCAGGCUCAAGCUCGGUGUCAUCGUUUUGGCCAGUCUAAGGCGGUGAAGGUGUACCGUCUGAUCACUAGAAACUAUGAGAGGGAAAUGCUGGAUAAAGCUAGUCUGAAGCUCGG